rnacentral:rRNA from 1 species
AUUGAACGCUGGCGGCAUGCUUUACACAUGCAAGUCGAACGGCAGCGCGGGCUUCGGCCUGGCGGCGAGUGGCGAACGGGUGAGUAAUACAUCGGAACGUGCCCAGUAGUGGGGGAUAGCUCGGCGAAAGCCGGAUUAAUACCGCAUACGACCUGAGGGUGAAAGCGGGGGAUCUUCGGACCUCGCGCUAUUGGAGCGGCCGAUGGCAGAUUAGCUAGUUGGUGGGGAAAAGGCCUACCAAGGCGACGAUCUGUAGCUGGUCUGAGAGGACGACCAGCCACACUGGGACUGAGACACGGCCCAGACUCCUACGGGAGGCAGCAGUGGGGAAUUUUGGACAAUGGGCGAAAGCCUGAUCCAGCAAUGCCGCGUGUAUGAUGAAGGCCUUCGGGUUGUAAAGCACUUUUGGCGGGAACGAAAAGGACUGUGCCAAUACCACGGUUCGAUGACGGUACCCGCAGAAUAAGCACCGGCUAACUACGUG